rnacentral:rRNA from 1 species
AACGAACGCUGGCGGCAGGCUUAACACAUGCAAGUCGAACGCACCGCAAGGUGAGUGGCAGACGGGUGAGUAACACGUGGGGAUCUGCCCAAUGGUACGGAAUAGCUCCGGGAAACUGGAAUUAAUACCGUAUGUGCCCUUCGGGGGAAAGAUUUAUCGCCAUUGGAUGAACCCGCGUCGGAUUAGCUAGUUGGUGAGGUAAAGGCUCACCAAGGCGACGAUCCGUAGCUGGUCUGAGAGGAUGAUCAGCCACACUGGGACUGAGACACGGCCCAGACUCCUACGGGAGGCAGCAGUGGGGAAUAUUGGACAAUGGGCGCAAGCCUGAUCCGGCCAUGCCGCGUGAGUGAUGAAGGCCUUAGGGUUGUAAAGCUCUUUCGCCGACGAAGAUAAUGACGGUAGUCGGAGAAGAAGCCCCGGCUAACUUCGUGCCAGCCGCCGCCGUAAGAC